AGAACAGCGAGGGCUGGCCCGCGCUCCACUUCCCAGGGAAGAUCUACUGCCAGGGCACACCUGCCGGGCCCUGGACGUGCCCCAUCGGUGGCGAAAGAAGGGGCUUCCUGACCCAACUCCCCCAGACAGCCGCCAACUCCGAUCACUCUGGCCGACGUUUCAACAACCACGGGGCGUCUCACAGACCCCGCGGUUUCCUGUCCUCCCCACGCCCAGGAACAAGCACCACGCCAACCCUUAAGUCACUGCGAGUCGAAUCGCCGUUCCCCUUAAGCGGUGCUUCUACCUGCGGUCCCCACCGUUUGAAACAAACUCCCAGCUCAGGGAUCACCUUAAAAGGAUAGCCUUCCUGACUUCCAGGGCCAAAUCGGUAACUCCCUCUUCAAGCGCUGCCUAAGCACUCACGCGUGCUCACUGCAGCACUCGUCUCUGUAUUUUAAGGUUUGUCUACUCUUCACCCCACCCCAACUCCAAACGAUGACCUUCAGUCAGACUUCAUCUUCAAAUUUGACGCUGGCCCCUAGCACCAUUCUCUAUACAGGAAAUAAGGUGUUGUUCAAUGAAUGGAAUUUCAGUGUCCACGAGAAAGCCCAAUACCUACACAUCCAAUUCCCAUUAUCAAAUGUUUGCACAAGAAUCGCAAAUUAAAGCCACCACUUCAUCAAC
rnacentral:lncRNA from 1 species